CCAAAUUUCUUCUAUGCUAAUUGUAAGUAUAAGCAGCAUCAGUGCUUUGUCUGUGGAAAACUGGAUUCGUCUGAUGAAUCUUCUAAUAUAGAGGAAAGUUGAAGAUAAGAAUGUUCAUGACUUGCAGUUUGCAAUGUGCAGACUCUGCCCUAAGGCCUGCCACAAGAAGUGCUUACCCAGAGGAAGAGUUUAAAAGGAGCUAGCUACACUUGGUUACAAGUUCAUGUUUCUCAGAAACUGCGUUAGAUAAGAAUCUUACUAAAGGAAAAGUAGAGGGUUCAGUUAAGGCAAUUCAAACUGCCUUACAAAUGUUAGAAGGUGGAGGUGGAUGCUGUAUUGAGGAUGCUAAAGCUAUUUGUGAGCCAGGGAUCCUCAAUCAAAUUUU